UGGGGAAUAUUGCACAAUGGGCGCAAGCCUGAUGCAGCAACGCCGCGUGAACGAUGAAGGUCUUCGGAUCGUAAAGUUCUGUUGCAGGGGAAGAUAAUGACGGUAACCGGAGAAGAAGCCCCGGCUAACUUCGUGCCAGCAGCCGCGGUAAUACGAAGGGGGCUAGCGUUGUUCGGAUUUACUGGGCGUAAAGCGCACGUAGGCGGACUUUUAAGUCAGGGGUGAAAUCCCGGGGCUCAACCCCGGAACUGCCUUUGAUACUGGAAGUCUUGAGUAUGGUAGAGGUGAGUGGAAUUCCGAGUGUAGAGGUGAAAUUCGUAGAUAUUCGGAGGAACACCAGUGGCGAAGGCGGCUCACUGGACCAUUACUGACGCUGAGGUGCGAAAGCGUGGGGAGCAAACAGG
rnacentral:rRNA from 1 species